UAUUAAUUUAUACUUUCUCUACGGUAGUUCUAGUACAAUCCUCUACACCUCUUUUUUUUAGUGAACCAAUACCAUAGAUAGUGUAGAAGAGGGAUUGGAAACGGAUCGCGAUUGUUGGCCAGUCCAGGCUGCGCAGGAAGUUAAUUCACUGCACCGGAAGCUAAUAAUAUUUUCUUCACAUCACCUUGGGAUGGCAGCACAGAUUACAGAGCAGACAGACAGCACAUGAGACUUGAGAAAAGCUAGCUAAAGAGCAGUGAUGAGCAUGGAAGGGAGAAACGCUCUACUGAGAUCGAGAGAAGCCACUAAGCCUCUGUUUGUGAAGACGAAGGAUUCAAGAUAUUUAGCAGUGCCAGCAUCAUGUAACUGCACUGACUUUGAGCAACAAAGUUGUAGCUAUGAAUGGAUGAUUUACGAGGGAAAUACAAUUUAAUAGCUUGAUCACUUUAGCGUAUUGUGUAUUCACACUCUUAUACUCUUAGUAUUAUAGUUGAUUCGAUUCAUAA